rnacentral:rRNA from 1 species
GACGAACGCUGGCGGCGUGCUUAACACAUGCAAGUCGAACGGAAAGACCCUGCUUUUGUGGGGUGCUCGAGUGGCGAACGGGUGAGUAACACGUGAGUAACCUGCCCUUGUCUUUGGGAUAACUUCAGGAAACUGGGGCUAAUACCGGAUAGGAGCUCCUGCUGCAUGGGGGGGGUUGGAAAGUUUCGGCGGUUGGGGAUGGACUGGCGGCUUAUCAGCUUGUUGGUGAGGUAGUUGCUUACCAAGGCUUUGACGGGUAGCCGGCCUGAGAGGGUGACCGGCCACAUUGGGACUGAGAUACGGCGCAGACUCCUACGGGAGGCAGCAGUGGGGAAUAUUGCACAAUGGGCGGAAGCGUGAUGCAGCAACGCCGCGUGCGGGAUGAUGGCCUACGGGUUGUAAACAGCUGUCGCCUGUGCUGAAGCGUGAGUGACGGUAAUGGGUAAAGAAGCACCGGCUAACUACGUG